GUACCCUCAGCUCAGUUGGUUAGAGCAGACGGCUCAUAACCGUCCGGUCGUAGGUUCGAGUCCUACAGGGUACA
rnacentral:tRNA from 1 species